rnacentral:rRNA from 1 species
UGCAGUCGAGGGGUAUAGGAAGCUUGCUUUCUAGAGACCGGCGCACGGGUGCGUAACGCGUAUGCAAUCUACCUUUCACAAAGGGAUAGCCCAGAGAAAUUUGGAUUAAUACCUUAUAGUAUUACGGANUGGCAUCAUUUUGUANUUAAAGAUUUAUCGGUGAAAGAUGAGCAUGCGUCCCAUUAGCUAGUUGGUAUGGUAACGGCAUACCAAGGCUACGAUGGGUAGGGGUCCUGAGAGGGAGAUCCCCCACACUGGUACUGAGACACGGACCAGACUCCUACGGGAGGCAGCAGUGAGGAAUAUUGGACAAUGGGCGCAAGCCUGAUCCAGCCAUGCCGCGUGCAGGAUGACGGUCCUAUGGAUUGUAAACUGCUUUUAUACAGGAAGAAACACCUCUACGUGUAGAGACUUGACGGUACUGUAAGAAUAAGGAUCGGCUAACUCCGUGCCAGCAGCCGCGGUAAUACGGAGGAUCCAAGCGUUAUCCGGAAUCAUUGGGUUUAAAGGGUCCGUAGGCGGUCAGGUAAGUCAGUGGUGAAAGCCCAUCGCUCAACGGUGGAACGGCCAUUGAUACUGCUUGACUUGAAUUAUUAGGAAGUAACUAGAAUAUGUAGUGUAGCGGUGAAAUGCUUAGAGAUUACAUGGAAUACCAAUUGCGAAGGCAGGUUACUACUAAUAUAUUGACGCUGAUGGACGAAAGCGUGGGUAGCGAACAGGAUUAGAUACCCUGGUAGUCCACGCCGUAAACGAUGGAUACUAGCUGUUGGGAGCAAUCUCAGUGGCUAAGCGAAAGUGAUAAGUAUCCCACCUGGGGAGUACGAACGCAAGUUUGAAACUCAAAGGAAUUGACGGGGGCCCGCACAAGCGGUGGAGCAUGUGGUUUAAUUCGAUGAUACGCGAGGAACCUUACCAAGGCUUAAAUGUAGAUUGACCGGUUUGGAAACAGAUCUUUCGCAAGACAAUUUACAAGGUGCUGCAUGGUUGUCGUCAGCUCGUGCCGUGAGGUGUCAGGUUAAGUCCUAUAACGAGCGCAACCCCUGUUGUUAGUUGCCAGCGAGUCAUGUCGGGAACUCUAACGAGACUGCCAGUGCAAACUGUGAGGAAGGUGGGGAUGACGUCAAAUCAUCACGGCCCUUACGCCUUGGGCUACACACGUGCUACAAUGGCCGGUACAGAGAGCAGCCACUGGGCGACCAGGAGCGAAUCUACAAAACCGGUCACAGUUCGGAUCGGAGUCUGCAACUCGACUCCGUGAAGCNGGAAUCGCUAGUAAUCGGA